rnacentral:rRNA from 1 species
CCUACGGGUGGCUGCAGUGAGGAAUAUUGGUCAAUGGCCGAGAGGCUGAACCAGCCAAGUCGCGUGAGGGAAGAAUGUCCUAUGGAUUGUAAACCUCUUUUGUCAGGGAGCAAAGUCACCCACGUGUGGGUGUUGGAGAGUACCUGAAGAACAAGCAUCGGCCAACUCCGUGCCAGCAGCCGCGGUAAUACGGAGGAUGCGAGCGUUAUCCGGAUUUAUUGGGUUUAAAGGGUGCGUAGGCGGGUUAUCAAGUCAGCGGUAAAAUCGUGGAGCUCAACUCCAUCCAGCCGUUGAAACUGAUGAUCUUGAGUGGGCGAGAAGUAUGCGGAAUGCGUGGUGUAGCGGUGAAAUGCAUAGAUAUCACGAAGAACUCCGAUUGCGAAGGCAGUUCACUGGACUGCAACUGACACUGAGGCUCGAAAGUGUGGGUAUCAAACAGGAUUAGAUACCCCGGUAGUC